AGCGAACGCUGGCGGCAGGCCUAACACAUGCAAGUCGAACGGAUCCUUCGGGAUUAGUGGCGGACGGGUGAGUAACACGUGGGAACGUGCCCUUUGGUUCGGAACAACUCAGGGAAACUUGAGCUAAUACCGGAUGUGCCCUUCGGGGGAAAGAUUUAUCGCCAUUGGAGCGGCCCGCGUCUGAUUAGCUAGUUGGUGAGGUAACGGCCCACCAAGGCGACGAUCAGUAGCUGGUCUGAGAGGAUGAUCAGCCACACUGGGACUGAGACACGGCCCAGACUCCUACGGGAGGCAGCAGUGGGGAAUCUUGCGCAAUGGGCGAAAGCCUGACGCAGCCAUGCCGCGUGAAUGAUGAAGGUCUUAGGAUUGUAAAAUUCCUUCAGCGGGGACGAUAAUGACGGUACCCGCAGAAGAAGCUCCGGCUAACUUCGUG
rnacentral:rRNA from 1 species